CUUGCUUUCAAUGGUGGCAGCUUCUUCCUUGCUGACAGCAAGGAUUUCGAAGCCGCGCUCGCGGUACGUGUUGUUCAACUCAAUAAGGUGGGG
rnacentral:tRNA from 1 species